GAUGAACGCUGGCGGCGUGCCUAAUACAUGCAAGUCGAGCGAACAGAUGAGGAGCUUGCUCCUCUGACGUUAGCGGCGGACGGGUGAGUAACACGUGGAUAACCUACCUAUAAGACUGGGAUAACUUCGGGAAACCGGAGCUAAUACCGGAUAAUAUAUUGAACCGCAUGGUUCAAUAGUGAAAGACGGUUUUGCUGUCACUUAUAGAUGGAUCCGCGCCGCAUUAGCUAGUUGGUAAGGUAACGGCUUACCAAGGCAACGAUGCGUAGCCGACCUGAGAGGGUGAUCGGCCACACUGGAACUGAGACACGGUCCAGACUCCUACGGGAGGCAGCAGUAGGGAAUCUUCCGCAAUGGGCGAAAGCCUGACGGAGCAACGCCGCGUGAGUGAUGAAAGUCUUCGGAUCGUAAAACUCUUUUAUUAGGGAAGAACAAAUGUGUAAGUAACUAUGCACGUCUUGACGGUACCUAAUCAGAAAGCCACGGCUAACUACGUG
rnacentral:rRNA from 1 species